UUGGCGAAAUCGGACGCGGAAUCACGCCGCAGCCUUUGAACGGCCGAAACUUUGAAAACAAACAAUUUUCCAAACAAACACGGCUGAAACACGGGUUCGAUUCCCGUAGGGGUCACCA
rnacentral:tRNA from 3 species